AAUCAACGCUGGCGGCGUGCCUCAGACAUGCAAGUCGAACGAUUAAACUUCCCUUCGGGGAAGAUAUAAAGUGGCGCACGGGUGAGUAACACGUAGGUAAUGUACCUUUGGGUGGGGAAUAACUUAGGGAAACUUAAGCUAAUACCGCAUAAUGCAGCGGCUCCUUCGGGAGACAGUUGUUAAAGAUUUAUCGCCUAAAGAGCAGCCUGCGGCAGAUUAGCUAGUUGGUAAGGUAACGGCUUACCAAGGCUACGAUCUGUAUCCGACCUGAGAGGGUGGUCGGACACACUGACACUGAAUAACGGGUCAGACUCCUACGGGAGGCAGCAGUCGGGAAUUUUGGGCAAUGGGCGAAAGGCUGACCCAGCAACGCCGCGUGAAGGAUGAAGUCUUUCGGGAUGUAAACUUCGUAAGAAUAGGAAGAAUAAAUGACGGUACUAUUUGUAAGGUCCGGCUAACUACGUG
rnacentral:rRNA from 1 species